AUCCAGCUGACGAGUCCCACGUAGGACGAAACACCCUUCUUGGAA
rnacentral:hammerhead_ribozyme from 1 species